CCUGCUACAGCAGGAGGGAGUGAAAAUAAGUAACAGGUUCCCUUCGCUCCCUGAGGUGGGGGGCAAGCUGGUUCCUUAUAUGGGGUGAGGGUAGGGCUGUGUCCAGGGGUCGGGCUGGAGGGGUGGCUUAGGUGGUCUGCCAACCUCUUUGAUGGUGUUGUGUGCAGGGGGCAUAUGCAGUACCCAGCUUUUGCUCCUGACACCCUAUUUUUGCUCCCAGCUCUUCAGAAGUGGUAGUUGGGUGUUUUUUUUUUCCCUUUGUCUUUUGUUGGUCAUAAUUUGCCCCAACUGCACAUGCACACGGUUAUUUUUAGUCCCUUAUAGUUUCUUUGUAUUUUGCUGUUCAAAGAGACCUCUUUUUGGAAUGAAUGAAUGUCCCCCCAGCUGCUGCCAUGAUUAGUGUCAGUAGCCAUGGUCCAGACGUCUCAUGGGGUGUUACGCUCCCUUAAGUUCUUCAGUACCCAUCUCUGGGUUCUUUCACGAGUCCCUAACAUUUGUAUGUGUGUUUCAGCUUGUUUGUUGCAUUCUGUUUAACAUCUGCCAGUCCUUAUAAAACUGAGGUGGAUUCUCCUUUACUCAAACAUGUGGCACACAUGAAAUGAUUCAAUGUGUGUGUCUGAGGCAGAAGGGCAGCCUCUCUCUGGGGGCAUGAGGAGAGGGAAGACCUGAGGAGAAGACGGUCACUAACACCAAGCUGACAGCUGGAAAACAGAGCAGAGGGAUCCCAGCCACGAUCCCCUGACUAUGCUCAGCAAGAUAGGCUAUGGGAGUUUCCUUCUCCAAAACACCAGAGAUGAGACUGGAUGAAGUCGGAGGAGUGUCAAGUGGAGAUCAGGUCCCAAUAGUCCACUGUACUUUAGCCAGCGGGAUUUGAUGGGACAAUCAGGUAAGGGGUUGAGCCAAACAUGGCCUGGGGACUGCGCAGGGUCCUGACUUCCCAGACCAGCUGCCUGGCUGGGAACAGGGCUCCAUGUAGGUCACUCAGCUGAAGGGUGGCUGGGACUACAUCUCCAGCUGCAUCCCCCAAAGCCCCCGCCUCCUGAGAACCCACAACGUCUCACAUUUCCACAUCCUGCAAGCUUUGUGCCUCCUGCCAAAGGUGCCAUCACCUCAUCCCCCAUUUGACUAAUCCCGAGACUCACCAACAGUAGAGUAACGCCAAUUCCAUUUAGACAUGCCAGCUUUAUACCAAGAUGAUCCCAACUUUAGAUUUAUAGAACAUACAACAAUGUGGAAAAGCUAAAAUACUUAAGCACUCUAGUUAUGAAAAAGAUAUCUACAGAAAUGGAAAGAAAAUGUCUAAUUAAAAUCAGUGGAGUAAAGACAGGUCACAGGGCCAAGUACAGUUGGGCAUGGGUUUUGGAGUCAGGCAGAGUCAGUUGUGCAAACUGUCCCGUCUCUUGGCCUGCACCUCACCAGUGAGAUGACCACUUGACUUGUCUUCCAGCUUGCUGUAAGGUUGAUGAAAUGCAGUCAUAUGUUCAGGCUAUAAGAAUUGGUCUUUAGGAGGAGUUUCCUCUAAAACCAAUUCAGUGUAUGAGGAUUACAAAGCACUUAAAAAAAAAAUUAUGAGUUCCAAUCCGGACUUCCAGGGCCUUGGGAGCAAAAAGCUUAUGAAAGGACAGUUACCCCUGUGGUCAUUUGUGCAAUUGUAAAGGUGGUUAUGUUGAAUUUUCUCAAAGCAUCUGUAAUUUGCUAACUUAUAGUAAUAACCUUGGCAUUCUCUGCAUUUUUUUCUUUGUUUUUUCUGUCUUUACUAGUCUUUUUCUUUUUGUAUUGAAGUUUCCAUCAUGUGAACAAUGAAUGUCAAAUGUGUGCUUUUGUUGAGAACACAGGCUCAAGAGUACAACACAGCCAUGAAAGCUGGAGUGGAGCACAGCAGCCAGUCGGUGUGCAGAGAAAUCUUCAGCAAACCCGGAAGGUUAAAACUUCAACAACAUUGUCUUCUACUGAUUGAAGAGGCAGCUCAAUAGCACUGGUCAUACCAACUUAUAUAUGCCAGCAAGCAGGAGGAGAAAACAGGCUACAUGCUAUGAAAAUCUGUUACAUAUUUCAUUUGGAAUGCAUACUGGAUUAUUAAGGUGCAGUUUUGAUGUGGAAUAAAUUUGGUGUUUGGAGCAGAAAUCCUAUGGCCAUGAACAGAGGUGUACUUUGUGUAUUUGACACCCAGAGCAGACCUCAACUCUUCAAACUUAAACAUCUAAAAUCUUCACGUAUGAAUUUACUUCUGAGUAUAAGAAUCCUCCUUAACCUACUCACAUUCCCUGUCUUCUAAAUCUGUAUAACUGUCAUCUUCAGUUAUGACUUCCAGUUCCUUAACCCGUCCUUUUCCCAAAUACCUCCAAAAUCGACAUUAUGCUUAGCACCAUCUUUAAAACCCAUGUCCCAGUGACUUCCCACCAUCUCCCACUCAUAACUCGUAGCCUCAGGAAAAGUCAUAGGAAGUAAGAAAAAUAUAUGAGAUAAAGGUCUGAGCACUACAAAUGACCUACUUAUACUGCACAAAUUUUCAGGUAACCCAAUAGUAUUAUUUUAUGACAUAAGAAUCUUUAGCCACACAGCAUGGGAGCAGAGAAUGUCAGCGGUGGGUCAUCUCUGCCUGAGAUCAUUGACAUUGAGGUCAAUCACCAUGCAGUCGAAAUUUUCCCAGUAGUAAAUAUUCCCAUUUUCAGAUCUCUUUUGAAAUUAGUUUCAAAAAUAGGAACACUAGGAAAUUUCCCAGGGACUAAAUUAAGUAUCAAAGACACAAGGACCAAGAUCAGUCUUCACCCCUACAGGCAAGCUAUAGGGUUCUACCCUCAAGUUUUAACUUUUGCUUCCUCUUUUCACUGCCUCCCCAGCUAUUACAAAAGCUUCCUAAUUCUUAUUUUCUGUCUCUUCUUAUUCUCAUCUACUCCACAUUAUAAAGCUAACAUGAUUUUUCUAAAGUAUAGCUCUAAUUACAUGAUUACCUUGAUAAGAAACAUCAUCCAUUACCUUUUCAAGUGUUUAAAUAUCCUUUUUUUAUUGACGUAUAGCUGACUUACAAUAUUAUACUAGUUUCAGGUGUACACGUGAUUCAAUGCUUUUGUAGAUUACACAGCAUACAAAGUUAUUACAAUAUUAUUGACUAUAUUCCCUUUGUUGUGCAUUACAUCCCUGUGACUUAUUUAUAACUGGUAGUUUGUGCCUCUUAACAUCCAGUACCUCUUGAAAUAAACUAUGACUAGCCCAGCAUUCAACGCCAUUCAAAUUCCUCUUCCAUCCCUCUUUCUCCUGGCUCCCCUCUCUAUGCACAGAUCCUCCCACUUAAGUCACAUCACAGAUCACUUAGAUGUGAUCUUCCAUAAUUUGAGUCCCUGCUCUGUUUUAAACCCUGGAGUACUUUGUAUUUCUCUUGUGGCAAAUAUUUCACUCUACUUUUUUCUUUCCUUUUAAAAAAAAUGUGCCUAUUUCUCUUACUGUCCCAUUAGAUGUUAUGAUUUUUUAGACCAGAAAUUGUAUCUCUGUAUUUGUUAACACAAAGUACCUGAGUACAAAUUAGGUACUCAAAUAAAAUAAAAACAAUGUUAACUGAAUGGUGCUUAGUA